GGGUGAGUAACACGUAUGCAACCUGCCCCUGUCAGGGGGACAACCCGCCGAAAGGCGGGCUAAACCCGCGUACAUGCCACCGGGGCAUCCCGGAGGCAGGAAAGGCUUCGGCCGGACAGGGAUGGGCAUGCGGCGCAUUAGGCAGUAGGCGGGGUAACGGCCCACCUAACCGACGAUGCGUAGGGGUUCUGAGAGGAAGGUCCCCCACACUGGUACUGAGACACGGACCAGACUCCUACGGGAGGCAGCAGUGAGGAAUAUUGGUCAAUGGUCGGGAGACUGAACCAGCCAAGCCGCGUGAGGGAUGAAGGUACAGAGUAUCGUAAACCUCUUUUGUCAGGGAACAAAGGCGGGGACGUGUCCCCGGAUGAGUGUACCUGAAGAAAAAGCAUCGGCUAACUCCGUGCCAGCAGCCGCGGUAAUACGGAGGAUGCGAGCGUUAUCCGGAUUUAUUGGGUUUAAAGGGUGCGCAGGCGGUCUGUUAAGUCAGCGGUCAAAGCCCGGGGCUCAACCCCGGCCCGCCGUUGAAACUGGCAGUCUCGAGUUGGAGAGAAGUAUGCGGAAUGCGCGGUGUAGCGGUGAAAUGCAUAGAUAUCGCGCAGAACUCCGAUUGCGAAGGCAGCAUGCCGGCUCCACACUGACGCUGAGGCACGAAAGCGUGGGUAUCGAACAGGAUUAGAUACCCUGGUAGUCCACGCAGUAAACGAUG
rnacentral:rRNA from 1 species